rnacentral:rRNA from 1 species
UACAGAGGGUGCGAGCGUUAAUCGGAAUUACUGGGCGUAAAGCGCACGUAGGUGGCGACGUAAGUCGGGUGUGAAAGCCCCGGGCUCAACCUGGGAAUUGCAUUCGAGACUGCAUUGCUGGAGUACGGAAGAGGAAGGCGGAAUUCCCGGUGUAGCGGUGAAAUGCGUAGAUAUCAGGAAGAACACCCGUGGCGAAGGCGGCUCUCUGGGACGGUACUGACGCUGAGACGCGAAAGCGUGGGGAGCGAACAGG